rnacentral:rRNA from 1 species
CAGUAGCCGCGGUAAUACGUGGGAUCCUAGCGUUGUUCGGAAUCAUUGGGCGUAAAGGGUGUGUAGGCGGCCAUGUAAGUCAGUUGUGAAAGCCCCGGGCUCAACCCGGGAAGUGCUUCUGAUACUGCUUGGCUUGAGUAUUGGAUAGGUGAGUGGAAUUCCAGGUGUAGUGGUGAAAUACGUAGAUAUAUGGAGGAACACCGGUGGCGAAAGCGGCUCUCUGGCUUGUAACUGACGCUGAGGCUCGAAAGCGUGGGGAGCAAACAGGAUUAGAGACCCCAGUAGUCCCUGUCUCUUAUAC